AUACGUAGGGGGCAAGCGUUAUCCGGAUUUACUGGGUGUAAAGGGAGCGUAGACGGCAAAGCAAGUCUGAAGUGAAAGCCCCGGGCUCAACCCGGGAAUUGCUUUGGAAACUGUUUAGCUGGAGUGCAGGAGAGGUAAGCGGAAUUCCUAGUGUAGCGGUGAAAUGCGUAGAUAUUAGGAGGAACACCGGCGGCGAAGGCGGCUUACUGGACUGUAACUGACGUUGAGGCUCGAAAGCGUGGGGAGCAAACAGGAUUAGAUACCCUGGUAGUCCACGCCGUAAACGAUGAUUACUAGGUGUUGGUUGUCAUAGACAAUCGGUGCCGCAGCAAACGCAAUAAGUAAUCCACCUGGGGAGUACGUUCGCAAGAAUGAAACUCAAAGGAAUUGGCGGGG
rnacentral:rRNA from 1 species